rnacentral:rRNA from 1 species
GAUGAACGCUGGCGGCGUGCCUAAUACAUGCAAGUCGAGCGAACGGACGAGAAGCUUGCUUCUCUGAUGUUAGCGGCGGACGGGUGAGUAACACGUGGAUAACCUACCUAUAAGACUGGGAUAACUUCGGGAAACCGGAGCUAAUACCGGAUAAUAUUUUGAACCGCAUGGUUCAAAAGUGAAAGACGGUCUUGCUGUCACUUAUAGAUGGAUCCGCGCUGCAUUAGCUAGUUGGUAAGGUAACGGCUUACCAAGGCAACGAUGCAUAGCCGACCUGAGAGGGUGAUCGGCCACACUGGAACUGAGACACGGUCCAGACUCCUAAGGGAGGCAGCAGUAGGGAAUCUUCCGCAAUGGGCGAAAGCCUGAAGGAGCAACGCCGCGUGAGUGAUGAAGGUCUUCGGAUCGUAAAACUCUGUUAUUAGGGAAGAACAUAUGUGUAAGUAACUGUGCACAUCUUGACGGUACCUAAUCAGAAAGCCACGGCUAACUACGUG